GGGAGUAUGUUUGAUCGUUUGUUUAUUUUUGGUUUGGUGUGUUUAAACUAUGGUUCGAUGUUUUGCUUAUGUUUUUAAACUCGUAAAGCUUUGGUUUUUGAUAGUUUUUGAUGUUUAUGUUGCAUGAGCUUGUGAAUGUUUGCUUAUUUGGUUACUAUCUUGGUUUAUGCUUGCUAUGUUGGUUUUUGCGAUUGAGUGGUAUUUUUGCAGGGGGAGUAUUUGUUGUUUUGUGAAGAAAAGAAAAAAGGGGG
rnacentral:lncRNA from 1 species